rnacentral:rRNA from 1 species
CGCCUGUUUAUCAAAAACAUGUCUUUUUGUUAAUUAUUUAAGGUUUAGCCUGCUCCAUGAGGGAUUAAAUAGCCGCAGUAUCUUGACUGUGCAAAGGUAGCAUAAUCAUUAGUUUUUUAAUUGAAAGCUGGAAUGAAGGGUUGGAUGAGGAAGUUUCUGUCUCACUAUUAUUUUAUUUGAAUUUUAUUUUUAAGUCAAAAAGCUUAAAUUUAAUAAAAAGACGAGAAGACCCUAUAGAGUUUAAUAGGUUUACUUUACAUUUGUUUAUGGGUUUAAAUUUAAUUGUUUAGUGGUUUAUUUGGUUGGGGUGACUUAAGAAUUGGAAUAACUUCUUAGUGUUUUAACAUUGAUUGAUGAAUCAUUGAUCCUAUAAUUUGGAUUACAAGAAUAAAUUACCUUAGGGAUAACAGCGUUAUUUUUUUAGAGAGUUCUAAUCGAUAAAAAGGAUUGCGACCUCGAUGUUGGAUUAAAGUUAAGUUUUGGCGCAGAAGCUAGGAUUUUG